rnacentral:rRNA from 1 species
GACGAACGCUGGCGGCGUGCUUAACACAUGCAAGUCGAACGGUGAAGCGCCUUCCUUUUUGGUGGGUGUGGAUGAGUGGCGAACGGGUGAGUAACACGUGAGUAACCUGCCCCCUUCUUCUGGAUAACCGCAUGAAAGUGUGGCUAAUACGGGAUAUUCUGGGUCUGUCGCAUGAUGGGUCUGGGAAAGAUAUUGUUUCGGUGGGGGAUGGGCUCGCGGCCUAUCAGCUUGUUGGUGGGGUGAUGGCCUACCAAGGCGGUGACGGGUAGCCGGCCUGAGGGGGUGGACGGUCACACUGGGACUGAGACACGGCCCAGACUCCUACGGGAGGCAGCAGUGGGGAAUAUUGCACAAUGGGCGCAAGCCUGAUGCAGCGACGCCGCGUGAGGGAUGGAGGCCUUCGGGUUGUGAACCUCUUUCGCCAGUGAAGCAGGCCUGCCUCGUUUGUGGGUGGGUUGACGGUAGCUGGAGAAGAAGCGCCGGCUAACUACGUG